rnacentral:misc_RNA from 1 species
AACGCACCUUGCGCCUCUUGGUAUUCCGAGAGGCAUGCCUGUCUGAGUGUCGUGAAAUCUCAAUCCCCCUCGGGUUUCCGAUCCGGGGCGGACUUGGACUUGGGCGUCUGCCAUCCCCCGAUGGCUCGCCUCAAAUGACUUAGUGGGGUCAGCGAUCCACGGCUUGACGUGAUAAGUUUCGUCCGGCCGGGUGUGCGAGGCCCGCUCACAACCCCGUCGCCGCCUCCCCCGGCGUCCGACACCUUUCGACUCUGACCUCAGAUCAGGUAGGGCUACCCGCUGAACUUAA